rnacentral:rRNA from 1 species
AAUGAAUUUAAAUUUAUACUAAGAGAUUAAGAGUUAAGGUCUUUAAAUUUAAAGAAUUUGGCGGUAAAUUAAUUUGACUAGAGGAAUUUGUUUAUUAAUAGAUAAUACACAAUUUAUCUUUCUUUAUUUAUUGUUAAUAAUAAUUUAUAUAUCGUCGUUUAGAGUAUUUUUAUAGAAUUAAUUUUCUUUAAUUAUAAUUAAUUAAAAAUCAGAUCAGGAUGUAGUUUAUAAUGAAGAAUAAAAUGAGUUACAUUUUUGAUAAAAAAUUAUGAAUAAUUUUUUGUAAUAUAAAUUUGAAGGAGGAUUUAGAAGUAAUUAAAUAUUAAUAUGAUUUUAUGAAUAUUUAUUAUACUAAUUUA